AAAUGCAAUAUACAGCAAACUUACAAUCAAUACUAUGCUAAAUGAGGAUUAGUUUAUAAUUUUGCUUUUGGUAUAAAGAUAACACUGAGUUCAUAAAAAUUUUGGAAGCGUUCCUUCCUUUUACAUUUCAUGAAAUAAUUUGAGGAGUAUUAGUAUUUCUUUUUGAGGAAACUGUUCUCUAUGGGGACUACAUGUAAGUGACACAUUACACCCUCACAGGCUCCAUUUAGCAUAUUGUUGUUGUGGGGUGAUAGUAUAUUGAAUUUAUUAUUUUGUGAUAUGGCUUCUAUAUCUCUAGAUUUUCUAGGACAUUUAUCAUAAAUGGGCAUUGAAUUUUUCCAAGGUGUUUUCUGCAUCCAACAAGAUAACCAGAUGGUUUCUGUAAUUAAGUUUAUUUGUAUGGGUAAUUGCAUUUAUUGUUUUACGUAUGCUUAACCAUAUAUGUAUUAGUGGGAUGAACCUGAUUUGACUGUGAUAGAUCUUUUUGAUGUGUUCUUGAAUUUGGAUAGAAAAUAUUUUUAUUUAUUUAUUUAUUUAUUUAUUUAUUUUUAUUUAUUAGGUAUUUUCUUCAUUUACAUUUCCAAUGCUAUCCCAAAAGUCCCCCAUACCCUCCUCCCCCACCCCCCUACCCACCUACUCCCACUUCUCGGCCCUGGUGUUCCCCUGUACUGAGGCAUAUAAAGUUUGCAAGACCAAUGGGCCUCUCUUCCCAGUGAUGGCUGACUAGGCCAUCUUCUGAUACAUAUGCAGCUAGAGACACGAGCUCUGGGGGGUACUGGUUAGUUCAUAUUGUUGUUCCACCUAUAGGGUUGCAGAUCCCUUUAGCUACUUGGGUACUUUCUCUAGCUCCUCCAUUGGGGGCCUUGUGUUCCAUCCUAUAGAUGACUGUGAGCAUCCACUUAUGUGUUUGCUAGGCCCCGGCAUAGCCUCACAAGAGACAGCUAUAUCAGGGUCCUUUCAGCAAAUAUUUUUAUUGAAAACUUUUGCAUCUAAGUUUAUUAUAGCGAUUGGCUGAUAAUUUUCCUUUUUUUCUGGGUCUUUAUUUUUGGAAUCUGGGUAUGAUAUACUGCAUAACAAGUUUUGGAAAUGUUCCUUUCCCAUUCAAUGUAUGAAAUAAUUUAAGGAGUUUUGGUGUUUUAUUUUCUUUUUCAUAUUUAAUAUUGUUAAUCUGAGCCAGAUUAAUGACUAGCAGUUUUUGUCCAUCGUAUUUUUUCCCCAAAGAACCCACUAUGUUUUAUUGGUUCUUUGUAGUAUUUUUUGAUUUUUUUUGAGAUUUAUUUACUUUUGUUUAGAAGUAAAUAUAUGAGUUGUGUGAGUAUAAGUUCCUUAUAUGCAGGUCCAUGGAGAGUAGAAGAAGGUAAUGCAUCUCCUAGAUCUGUAGUUAAAGAUGGGGUCUGCCAUAUAUAGCAGAGGACAGCUCUGGUCCGGCCUCAGUGGGAGAAGAUGAAUCUAACCCUUGAGAGACUUGAGACCCCAGGGAGUGGGGAGACCUGUGGGGGACAUCCUCUUGGAGAUGGAGUAGGAGAAAUGGGAUGAGGAACUGUGGGAGGGCAGAUCAGGAGGGGGGCAAUGACUGGACUGUAAAAAAAUUAAAGUUUAAAAAAAAAAGAUAGCUGUGUGCUGUCAUGUAGGUGUAAGGAACUGAACUUGGGCCCUCUCCAACAGCAGCUAUUGUUCUUAACUAUUAAGUGAUCUUUCUAGUCCCUCAUUUCUAUUAUUUUAUUUUCACCCCAUCUUUUCUUAUCUAUUUUUGGGGGGCAUUGUAUGUUCUUGUUUCUCCAAAACUUACAGAUACAAUACUAAACUACUAAUUUGAAACCUUUCUAGUUUGAGUGUGUGUCUCUGUGUGUGUUAGUAUUGAGUGCCAUAAAUUUCCUACCAGAACUGCCUUUUUUGUGUCCUAUAGAUCUUGGUAUUAUGUUGAUUUUAUUUUUCACUUAAUUCUAGGGAGUCUUGAUUUUUCUUCUUUAUUUAUUCCUUGAAAGAUCAUCUUUAGUUAGUUUAUUACUUAGUUUCCAUGAGUUUAUGUACUUCUUGUUGCUUCUAUGUCAGUUGAUAUCCAGCUUUAUGACAUUGUUCUCACUACUCUCCUUAUAAGUUCUGCAAAGUGCACUUCCCCAGAAAGUCUCACGAUUCACAACACCUUUGGCUGUCAUCUAUUUUCCAACUCAAAGCCCAUUUUAUUUGCCAUUUUAGAUCCUCAGUGCAUAUGGUCUGACUCACUGUCACCCACCACUCAUUGCAACUACUUCAGAAUGAUUCUCCCUCACAAGUUUGUUUCCCACAAACUCAAACAUUUUAUAGGAUUUGUCAAGAGGUGUCUAGUCUGUGUUUUUCCAAAUUUGAUCCAGUUGUUAUAUUUUCCUUGCAUGCCUUCCCACAAACUAUUACAAAUGUUCCUUGUGAAAGACUUACUGGCAAUGCCUUUGAUAAGCCAUACACUACCGUAUUAGUCAGGAAACCCAAUUGACAGAAGGCUUACUCCAACUCAACCAAGCCGGAAAUGGAGUUUGUUGGCUCACAUAACAACAAAAAGGGAUACAGCUUGGGACACGUGGUGGGACAGGGGUCUUGACAUAACUACAGCUCUGUCCCUCCAGAUCUACUUCUCUGAUUGAAGACUUUAUUCUUCCGAUAGGCAAAGGGUUUUUUUUUUUUUUAUUUUGAUGUGGGAAAAAUGAAGAACACAUUCCUUGUUAUAUAAUAGUCCUAGUUAGAAUACCUAUAUGGUAGUAAAACAUGAUGACCAGAAGUAGCUGUGAAAGGAAAGGGUUUAUUUUAUCUUAUAGUUCUACAUCACAGACCAUCACUGGUGUAAGUCAGGGGAAGAACUCAAAUAGGGCAGGAACCCAGAGACAAGCAAAGCAGAGGACAUAGAAUAGUACUACUUACUGACUUGCUUUUCAUGGCUUGCUCAGCCUGUUUUCUAAGGCACCCCCUUUUUUCAUACAGCACUGUCUGUUUUCUUCACAAUGUGACAACAUUAAGUAAAUCUUCUCUCCCUGCUUUCAGCAGUGCCUACAUAUUUAACUGAAAUAUUGGAUUUAGGUAGCUAAGCCUUCUUGUUGGAGCUGCUGGAGCCUGAACUCUGCUUAUACCCAAGAAAUAAUUAGGUAGUGCUAAACUAUUAUUAUUACAGAGCAGCAUUCUGAGCUUGAGCUUCAGCAAAACUGUGCACUGAGGAGUCCAGCACUUUAGUCCUUGUUGGUUUGCUGUUGUUGUUAUAACUGUACUACUCAACUAUUAUGCUUUUCCUAGCAUUUAUUUAUUUAUUUUUAUCAAUUUCAGACUAAUCAUUAUUAGAGUUAGAGAGCAAUGUGAUUCUUCUGUUUUUCCUAUGUAUUAAAAAGCAUAUUUUACAAAC
rnacentral:lncRNA from 1 species